UACGGAGGGUGCAAGCGUUAUCCGGAUUCACUGGGUUUAAAGGGUGCGUAGGCGGGCAGUUAAGUCCGUGGUGAAAUCUCUGAGCUUAACUCAGAAACUGCCAUGGAUACUAUCUGUCUUGAAUAUUGUGGAGGUAAGCGGAAUAUGUCAUGUAGCGGUGAAAUGCUUAGAUAUGACAUAGAACACCAAUUACGAAGGCAGCUUGCUACACAGUUAUUGACGCUGAGGCACGAAAGCGUGGGGAUCAAACAGG
rnacentral:rRNA from 1 species